rnacentral:rRNA from 1 species
GGUCAAGUUAUUAAGGGUGCAGGGCGGAUGCCUUGGCACUAGGAGCCGAUGAAGGACGUGAUAAGCUGCGAUAAGCUUCGGGGAGUUGCACGUAAACUUUGAUCCGAAGAUUUCCGAAUGAGGAAACUCACUUAGAGUAAUGUCUAAGUAUCAUUAAGUGAAUACAUAGCUUAAUGAGGGGAACUCAGGGAACUGAAACAUCUAAGUACCUGAAGGAAGAGAAAGAAAUUCGAUUCCGUAAGUAGCGGCGAGCGAACGCGGAUUAGCCCAAACCAAUAAAGUUUUCUUUAUUGGGGUUGCGGACAUAUCAUAACGAAGAGGUAUCGUAAUUGAAGAGGUUUGGAAAGACCCACCACAGAAGGUAAUAGUCCUGUAUGUUAAACGAGAAGACUUCAGAUAUGAUCCAGAGUACCACGGGACACGUGAAACCCUGUGGGAAGCAGGAGGGACCACCCUCCAAGGCUAAAUACUACCUAGUGACCGAUAGCGUAUAGUACCGUGAGGGAAAGGUGAAAAGAACCCCGGGAGGGGAGUGAAAUAGAACCUGAAACCCUGCACUUACAAGCUGUGGAAGCACAUUUCUUGUGUGACCGCGUACUUUUUGUAGAACGGGCCAACGAGUUACGUUAAGUAGCAAGGUUAAGCACUUAAGGUGUGGAGCCGUAGCGAAAGCGAGUUUUAACUGAGCGUUCAGUUACUUGACGUAGACCCGAAACCGGGCGACCUACCCAUGAGCAGGAUGAAGCGAAAGUAAAAUUUCGUGGAGGUCCGAACCCACGAGCGUUGAAAAGCUCGGGGAUGACUUGUGGGUAGCGGUGAAAUUCCAAUCGAGCCCGGAGAUAGCUGGUUCUCCCCGAAAUAGCUUUAGGGCUAGCCUCAAGGUGAGAGAUACGGAGGUAGAGCACUGAAUGUCCUAGGGGGUAUUGCACCUACCGAAGACUAUCAAACUCCGAAUGCCGUCAUCUUAUACUUGGGAGUCAGACUGUGGGUGAUAAGAUUCAUAGUCGAAAGGGCAACAGCCCAGAUCGUCAGCUAAGGUCCCUAAAUGUAAGUUAAGUGGUAAAGGAUGUGGGAUUGCACAGACAACCAGGAUGUUGGCUUAGAAGCAGCCACUCAUUCAAAGAGUGCGUAAUAGCUCACUGGUCGAGUGAUCCUGCGCCGAAGAUUUCCGGGGCUAAAACUUACUACCGAAGCUACGGCAUCAGUAAUGAUGGGAAGGGGAGCUUCCCAUACGGGUUGAAGCAUGACCGUAAGGACAUGUGGACAGUAUGGGAGUGAGAAUGUUGGCAUGAGUAGCGAGAUGUGGGUGAGAAUCCCACAGGCCGUAAACCCAAGGUUUCCAGGGGAAGGUUCGUCCGCCCUGGGUUAGUCGGGACCUAAGCUGAGGCCGAAAGGCGUAGGUGAUGGACAACAGGUUGAUAUUCCUGUACUACCGAUAACCGUUUGAGAGAAGGGAUGACACAGUAGGAUAAGCUAAGCACACUGUUGGUUAUGUGUGCCCAAGCAUUGAGGCAGUCAAAGUAGGCAAAUCCGCUUUGAUAAUGCUGGGAUGUGAUGGGGAGCGAAAUUUAGUAGCGAAGUAGCUGAUUUCACACUGUCAAGAAAAGUCUCUAUCGAGGUUAAAGGUACCCGUACCGCAAACCGACACAGGUGGGUGAGGAGAGUAUCCUAAGGCCAGCGAGAGAACUGUUGUUAAGGAACUCGGCAAAAUGACCCCGUAACUUAGGGAUAAGGGGUGCCACCAUCAGGUGGCCGCAGAGAAUAGGCCCAAGCGACUGUUUACCAAAAACAUAGGUUUCUGCUAAGUCGCAAGACGAUGUAUAGGAGCUGACGCCUGCCCGGUGCUGGAAGGUUAAGGGGAUCUGUUAGAGCAAUCGAAGCAGUGAACUUAAGCCCCAGUAAACGGCGGCCGUAACUAUAACGGUCCUAAGGUAGCGAAAUUCCUUGUCGGGUAAGUUCCGACCCGCACGAAAGGCGUAACGAUUUGGGCACUGUCUCAACAACAGACUCGGUGAAAUUGUAAUUCCGGUGAAGAUGCCGGAUACCUGCGACAGGACGGAAAGACCCCAUGGAGCUUUACUGUAGCUUGACAUUGGGUUUUGGUACUACAUGUACAGGAUAGGUGGGAGGCUUUGAAACCAGGACGCCAGUUUUGGCGGAGCCAUCCUUGGGAUACCACCCUUGUAGUACUGGGACUCUAACCAUAGGCCAUGAAUCUGGUCUUGGGACACUGUCAGGUGGGCAGUUUGACUGGGGCGGUCGCCUCCCAAAAGGUAACGGAGGCGCUCAAAGGUUCUCUCAGUACGGUCGGAAAUCGUACGUAGAGUGUAAAGGCAAAAGAGAGCUUGAUUGCAAGACAUACAGGUCGAGCAAGGAUGAAAAUCGGACUUAGUGAUCCGGUGGUUCUGCGUGGAAGGGCCAUCGCUCAACGGAUAAAAGCUACCCUGGGGAUAACAGGCUUAUCUCCCCCAAGAGUCCACAUCGACGGGGAGGUUUGGCACCUCGAUGUCGGCUCAUCACAUCCUGGGGCUGUAGUAGGUCCCAAGGGUUGGGCUGUUCGCCCAUUAAAGUGGUACGCGAGCUGGGUUCAGAACGUCGUGAGACAGUUCGGUCCCUAUCCGUCGCAGGCGUAGGAAAUUUGAGAAGACCUGUCCUUAGUACGAGAGGACCGGGAUGGACGUACCUCUGGUGUACCAGUUGUUCUGCCAAGGGCAUGGCUGGGUAGCUAUGUACGGAAUGGAUAAGCGCUGAAAGCAUCUAAGCGCGAAGCCAACUUCAAGAUAAGAUUUCCCACCGUAAGGGUAAGACCCCAGAAAGACUAUCUGGUUGAUAGGUCGAAGGUGUAAGUGCAGCAAUGUAUUUAGCUUAUCGAUACUAAUAGGUCGAGGACUUGACCAA